rnacentral:rRNA from 1 species
UACGAAGGGGGCUAGCGUUGCUCGGAAUCACUGGGCGUAAAGGGUGCGUAGGCGGGUCUUUAAGUCAGGGGUGAAAUCCUGGAGCUCAACUCCAGAACUGCCUUUGAUACUGAGGAUCUUGAGUUCGGGAGAGGUGAGUGGAACUGCGAGUGUAGAGGUGAAAUUCGUAGAUAUUCGCAAGAACACCAGUGGCGAAGGCGGCUCACUGGCCCGAUACUGACGCUGAGGUGCGAAAGCGUGGGGAGCAAACAGGAU